UCCAGACUCCUACGGGAGGCAGCAGUGGGGAAUAUUGGACAAUGGGGGGAACCCUGAUCCAGCGACGCCGCGUGAGUGAAGAAGUAUUUCGGUAUGUAAAGCUCUAUCAGCAGGGAAGAGAGAAAUGACGGUACCUGACUAAGAAGCCCCGGCUAACUACGUGCCAGCAGCCGCGGUAAUACGUAGGGGGCAAGCGUUAUCCGGAUUUACUGGGUGUAAAGGGAGCGCAGACGGCGAUGCAAGCCAGGAGUGAAAGCCCGGGGCCCAACCCCGGGACUGCUCUUGGAACUGCGUGGCUAGAGUGCAGGAGGGGCAGGCGGAAUUCCUGGUGUAGCGGUGAAAUGCGUAGAUAUCAGGAGGAACACCGGCGGCGAAGGCGGCCUGCUGGACCGCUACUGACGUUGAGGCUCGAAAGCGUGGGGAGCGAACAGGAUUAGAUACCCCAGUA
rnacentral:rRNA from 1 species